AAACCAACCGGGAUUGCCUUAGUAACGGCGAGUGAAGCGGCAAAAAGCUCAAAUUUGAAAUCUGGUACCUUCGGUGCCCGAGUUGUAAUUUGGAGAGGGCAACUUUGGGGCCGUUCCUUGUCUAUGUUCCUUGGAACAGGACGUCAUAGAGGGUGAGAAUCCCGUGUGGCGAGGAGUGCGGUUCUUUGUAAAGUGCCUUCGAAGAGUCAAGUUGUUUGGGAAUGCAGCUCUAAGUGGGUGGUAAAUUCCAUCUAAAGCUAAAUAUUGGCGAGAGACCGAUAGCGAACAAGUACAGUGAUGGAAAGAUGAAAAGAACUUUGAAAAGAGAGUGAAAAAGUACGUGAAAUUGUUGAAAGGGAAGGGCAUUUGAUCAGACAUGGUGUUUUGUGCCCUCUGCUCCUUGUGGGUAGGGGAAUCUCGCAUUUCACUGGGCCAGCAUCAGUUUUGGUGGCAGGAUAAAUCCAUAGGAAUGUAGCUUGCCUCGGUAAGUAUUAUAGCCUGUGGGAAUACUGCC
rnacentral:rRNA from 1 species